rnacentral:rRNA from 1 species
ACGAACGCUGGCGGCGUGCCUAAUACAUGCAAGUUGAGCGCUGAAGGUUGGUACUUGUACCGACUGGAUGAGCAGCGAACGGGUGAGUAACGCGUGGGGAAUCUGCCUUUGAGCGGGGGACAACAUUUGGAAACGAAUGCUAAUACCGCAUAAAAACUUUAAACACAAGUUUUAAGUUUGAAAGAUGCAAUUGCAUCACUCAAAGAGGAUCCCGCGUUGUAUUAGCUAGUUGGUGAGGUAAAGGCUCACCAAGGCGAUGAUACAUAGCCGACCUGAGAGGGUGAUCGGCCACAUUGGGACUGAGACACGGCCCAAACUCCUACGGGAGGCAGCAGUAGGGAAUCUUCGGCAAUGGACGAAAGUCUGACCGAGCAACGCCGCGUGAGUGAAGAAGGUUUUCGGAUCGUAAAACUCUGUUGGUAGAGAAGAACGUUGGUGAGAGUGGAAAGCGCAUCAAGUGACGGUAACUACCCAGAAAGGGACGGCUAACUACGUG